rnacentral:rRNA from 1 species
UACGUAGGGUGCAAGCGUUGUCCGGAAUUAUUGGGCGUAAAGAGCUCGUAGGCGGUUUGUCACGUCGGAUGUGAAAAUCCGGGGCUUAACCCCGGACCUGCAUUCGAUACGGGCUGACUAGAGUUCGGCAGGGGAGACUGGAAUUCCUGGUGUAGCGGUGAAAUGCGCAGAUAUCGGGAGGAACACCAGUGGCGAAGGCGGCGAUCUGGGAAGAUACUGACGCUGAGGUGCGAAAGCGUGGGGAGCAAACAGG